rnacentral:lncRNA from 1 species
GUGGGUUAGGUCGGUAGUCUAAGGAUUUACGUUGCAGUAUGUUUUUCCUCUUCCUUCGAUCCUUGGCAUUCGUAGAACACAAGCCAUAUGUGAGAUUCCUUGUUAGAGAACUGAAACCCUAAUCGUAAAAACUUUGGGUUGUGUUUUUCGGUUCUUCAGGUAUUUACUAAUUCCUUCUCUAAACGCUUGCGUAAUUUUCUUUUUCAAUUCUGUUUGUGAGCGUUAAUGACUUGCAACAAAUUUGAUUCUCUAAUUUAGAAAGUUAGGAAUUCUGAUUAUAUAUGCGUUCUUGUUCUUCAGUCAUUCAAUGAGACCCAAACACCCCCGGACCCAUGUCUAUCUCUCUAACUACGGUCCCCCGAUACCCAAAUCUACCUCGGCAUGUCUGCAAUCGAAGAUCUGUAAGUUUCAUUAUUUUUAUUCUUUUCUUUAUUUUACGUUUAUAGGGUUUUUCUGUAAUUGAGAAUGAUGACGUGAUUUUAUUUUGUCAAUUAGGGUUUUGAUUUUACUCUUUCUAAUUUAGGAUUCUACUAUCACCCUGUCUUCUUCAUCUUCUUUUCGUUGAUUUUUUUUUUCUGUAAAAUCUGAUUUUUUAGGUUUGUUUCUGUCGUAUUGUGUUGUUGAUCAUUUGAUAGAUAAAGUCUGGUGUGUUUGGUUAGUUUUGUUGCUCGUUUGAGAACUGUCUUGUAGAUUCAAUGUUAGGAAAAAGUAAUUUUAUGAGAUCACCAGAUUUUAUUCAAAUUUAUGUGAUCGUGUAAGACUCCAUAAGUUAAAACUAUAUUUAAUUUGUUUCUUGUAUCUCUUCCUUUGAUCUGCAUAUUACUAAUAUUACUAAUAAUAGAAUUCUGUCAAACUCUUGGAUCUACUCAUAUUUCUAUAUUUAACAUGAAAAUAUAUUUCUAUAUUUAACAUGUAAAUUUUCAUGGCCAUAACAUGAUAACCUCAUUUUCUUGUAUCUUUAAUGGACUCGUGGCUUUAAAGGCAAUGUAGUUGUAGUUCACUCCUAUUGUUAUCUAGUUAUGUUGACCAUUCCUGAUGAUCUGCGUAUUACUUUUAAAUGUCUUUUAUUUGGUACUAAGAAACAUCAUGAAGUGGUUUUUCUUAUGGAAUUAUGGUUUACAACAGUCAUAAAGCAUUAUUUUUCUUUUUUCCUUUUCCUGCUUUUAUCUAAUAAUAUGUGAUCUUUAUUGUGAUUCUACUUGUUACUUGGUGUCUGAAGUUUGCAUACUUACAGAAUUAGGUGAGAUGAACUCCAUCAGUGUUGUGGAAUGAAAUCAUUGUUUAAUAAAAAAAGCAACAAAGUGGAUUCUGAUGGGUCAUCACCUGUAAGUUUUGAUCCCUUUUGUUUUUUAUUUAAAAUCUUGCUUUGAUUUCUUUCAAUUUCAUUAGGGUAUUUCCAUUUUAUUUGUAAUUUUCUAUGUGAUGCUAGGUUAAAGUGGUAGGUGUAAGGCAAUAUCCUUAUAUUAAAUGUGAAACAAUUUACUUAUCAUUACAUAACACUACAAGGAAAACGAUCAUUAGCCGCGACAAAAGUCGUCGGUAAUAAGUCAAGUUGUCGCCGAUAAUAGUAAUAGCGGCGAUGCGUCGCUGGUAGUAAGUUGCUACUACUAUUUCGUCACUAUUGAUGAACUUGUCGCAGCUAAUGAUAGAUGUCGCGAAUAAUGACCGUGUCACCGCUAAUGAUAGAUUUCACCGCUAAUGACCAUGUCGCCGGUAAUAACUCUGUCGCCGGUAAUAGUGUCACCAGUAAUUACAAUUUUCAUUUUUAAAAUUUUUUUUUGUAAUUAUUGAUUUUGUUUGCUGGUAAAAAUGUACUCGGUAAUUACAUAACAACAUUUGAUUAAAUAUAAAAAAUAAUAGUGUUGACGUUAAUUACAAAACAAACAUCCGAUUAUAAUUAAUUAAAUAUCAAAAGUCAUAAUAUCCGAUUAAAUAUAAAAAGUAUUAAUAUCGUCUGGUAUUAGUGUCGCCGGUAAUUACAAAAAACAACCAAAGUUUUACAAUCUACCAAGUAGCAAAGCAUGACAACGUAUGCAAAUAAAACUCAUCCUGACCUACAUACCAUCAUCUUCGUUCCCAUCGUUUCCUCGAUUAUUUUGGGAAUGAAAAAACGAAUGCAGCUCAUCCCUACAUGCCGGGUCGUUCAGCAUGGCACAAAGAUUUUCCAACUACAUAAUUAAUAACAACAUAUAUAAACUUAUAAGUUCAAUUAUCAAACAUAAACAAAAACUAUCAAAAUACAUUGUUAUUUUUAAACUAAGACAAGAAACCAAAGUACGUUGUUAUUUUUGCACUUGGGACACAAAUCUAAUUACCAAAGUUUUUAGCAAAUAAUCACCACAAAACCAAAAUUACCAAAUCAACAUGCAUUUUACGAUGCUAAAGUAGAUUGCUAUUUUUAAACUAAGACCAAAAACCAAUGUACGUUGUUAUUUUUUGCAUUUGGGACAAAAACCUAAUUACCAAAGUUUUUAGCAAAUAAUCACUACAAAACCAAAAUUACCAAAUCAACAUACAUUUUACGAUGCUAAAGUAGAUUGUUAUUUUUAAACUAAAAAAAAACCAAAGUACGUUGUUAUUUUUUGCACCUGGGACAAAAACCUAAUUACCAAACUUUUUAGCAAAUAAUCACCACAAAACCAAAAUUACCAAAUCAACAUACAUUUUACGAUGCUAAAGUAGAUUGUUAUUUUUAAACUAAGACAAAAAAACCAAAGUACGUUGUUAUUUUUUGCACUUUGGACAAAAACCUAAUUACCAAACUGUUUAGCAAAUAAUCACCACAAAACCAAAGUAGAUUGUUUUACCUGUGAUGGUUGUGGUGAUGGUUGCGAAGGCUGUGGAAUCGGCGGGAGAGUAGAAGGUUUAUGGCCGAUGCCUCUAAUAUGGCUACGUCGCUCUCCUAAUACUUUCUCUAACACAGUUCUUUCUUGAGUGGGUGUUAACUGACUUUCACCUUGAGUUUGUUCUAACAACUAUUCAACUAACCGAUUUUAUAACUUCUAAAAGUGAGUAACAAUUAAGUAUAAAUAAACAUUUAACUAUAUGAUAAAAUUAUAAUUAAAUACUUACAUAUUGUUGUUCCGCCUCAGUUGUAACAAAUACAUCAUUCUUAUCGGUAUGAGCUUUGCGAAACGUUUCCACUCUCUUAAGGUUCUGUUUAACUUUAAAAAUUAGAUUAUAUUUUAAAUAAAUAAUUACAUAUAUCGUACGUUACCUUCUUAUAGCAACUACUGCUAUACGAGCUCGACCCCCACGAUUCGCAUUUGUUUGCAUUUCACGGAUUUUUUUGUUCUUUUCUGAAGCAAUUAUGUGUUCGUUUGUUUGGAAAUACUCAACUGCUUUUUUCCACUUAUCAACUUCCAUACCCUCUGGAGGGUUGGCUAUUGCUCUCGGGAUAUCUUCAUACCCUCCGACUAACAUAAAAUAUUCUUUUGCGUCAGCUUUACGUUCUCGAUAACCUUUUAACAAAGCUGCUUGGAAACUCUCUGUCAACAUAUUAACUUGUCAUCUCGGUACAUCUAAUCUAAAUCAAACUUUGUCUACAAAUAAAAAAGUUAACCAAGUAAAAAACAAUUAUAGUUAACCAUAUAAAAUAUAUUUAAAUAAAUAACUGCCGCUAAAUGUUGUAAUACGGUGUCCUGUAUUGCAGGGGAAACUUUUUUCCAAGUGCAUUUAUCAAAAGGGACCAUCUGCCACAUUGUUUUUCCAACUUCUCGGGAAAACAUGUCUUUCGGCUCUCCUACGGGAUCAAAUGUGAUAUCCCUAUCAUAUUCCAUGCUAAUCGGUUUGCCCUGGUUCCAUAAGAUCGUUUUUUCAAGCUUUAUAUUUUUCGAUUUGCCUCGAACUUUCCUUUGUGCAAGUUGCUCAACUACAAAUGUAAUUAAAAAUUAUUAGAAACGGUAUUUAAUUUAUAAUAGCUGAACAAAAAUAGUAAACAACAAUUCAUAACAAGACUUACCGUCCUGCUCGUGAUGACCAACACCUCUACCACCUGGGAGAGGUGCGUCCUCAGCUCCAUCACCCCCCGUGUCCACGACCCAUAACAGCUGCCAUGGUAUACAUAAACAAAAGCCAUAUUGUCAUCAUUUCUUGAAAAACUUAUAAGAUAUACAAAUAUAAUUUUUAUUACAAAUACACAUUACAUAGAAAUAAACAUUUACAUAGGAAUAAACAUUUCUAUUUAAACAAGAACUGUUCUAAUCAGAAUAUUCCUCAUAUCCUUCGGUGUCUUCUUCUGUAUCAUAAUCAUAAUCGGUCUCAUCGUAAUCAGUUUCGCAAUCAGAAACAUCAUUGACUAUACCAGUAUAGCAUCCUACUUAUACCAAAACCACAUACUUUUCCACAUAAUACACAAGAGAAUGAAAUUCACAUACUUUCACACACAUAUACCACGUAUACACCAAAUACAAAUACAUUCACAUACACACAAAAUAACAUCCUACUUAAAUUAAAUACACAUAUUUUCACAUAUAUAGCUAAUAACAUCCUAUUUAUACCAAAUACAAAAAUUUCACAAUCAUAUACCACAUUUACGACAAACAUACAUAUAUUCACAUACACACAAUAACAUCCUACUUAUAACAAAUACAUAUAAUUUCACAUAUAUAUAGAUAAUAACAUCAUGUAUAUACUUCUACCAAAUACUCAUACACCACAUAUACAUCAAACACACAUACAUUGGCAUAUAUACACCAAAUUCACAUAUAUUUAUACAAAUACCAAAUAUACAAUCUAAUUUUCACAUAUGGCAAUUUUCACAUACAAAUACGAAAUUCACAAAAAAAUGAAAUAAUAGAACCUGUAGUGGCGGAAAUCAACGGAUAUGUAGCCGGAAAAUUUGGUCUUCACCCGAAAAUACCCUCACCGGUAAACCCAAAGACAACACCACCAAAAACACUGAAAUUAAACAAUUUAUUGCAAUUUAAUCAUCAAAUUCGGCUCUUAAUAAUCACCAAAUGUCCCUAAAGACUAAACUACAAAUGGAAGUAAUACAAGAAUCAAAUUCAUUUUUUUUUCUAAUCCAAAGACAACACCACCAAAAACAAGAAAUUGAACAACUUAUGGCCAUUUAAUCAUCAAAUGCAGCUACAAAUCGAAAUUAACAUACAAAUUAAAAAGGAAACAACAAAAUCAACUAACAUUUCUUCAAGAAAUAAAGCUAGAAAUCGGUCAUAAAAGCCCUAACCACCCCUUGAUCCUUAAUCUCACACAAUGUGGGGAGAUAUGUAGUUGGAACAACCUAAUUGAAGACAAACUCGGUAGAAGCUGAAAGAGGCGUAGUGUGGGAUGCAACAAACAGAAAGCAAAAUGGGAGAAAUGAAGAAACUGCGUGCAUUUUUUUAUCUGCGAGAGCCUUUAGCGGCGACAAUUAGGGAUUUACCGACGACAACGGUCAAUAGCGGAGACAAUCUGAAGGGAAGGGUACCGCGUCAUUUUUUAACUAACUAUUAACGUCGACAUUUUUACCUUUUAGCGGCGACACAUAUGUCGCCGGUAUUAGGUUAGUGCGGAUAAGGGACCCCAACCGUUGGAUUGGAUAUUUGAUUGAACGACUUAGAUGUAACGGAGGGGGAAAACACGGAUUCAGGUGAUAACCCUUUAGCGGCGACGUGUAAUUUUAGCGGCGACUCUAGCAUUUAUCGCCGCUAAAAGUCCACGUCGCAGGUAAUAGUGUCGCCGCUAAAGGGUGAUAUUCUUGUAGUGUAUCAUUUGUUAAUAUAUUUGUGGGAAUGCAGACUUUUAUUUAUAGUAUAUUACGCCUUAGUUGGUGGAAACAAUCAAAGUAUGAGUACUGAAGUGUAAAUUUAACAACAUAGGAAGCAGACUGCUAUGAUAUGGUAAAAACUUUUUUUUUUNNNNNNNNNNNNNNNNNNNNNNNNNNNNNNNNNNNNNNNNNNNNNNNNNNNNNNNNNNNNNNNNNNNNNNNNNNNNNNNNNNNNNNNNNNNNNNNNNNNNUAAUUUUGGGUGAGUAUCUAAUACUUGUAUUCGUAUUUGAGGAAUGAGAGAGAUGUGAUCAUAUUUCUAAUUUUUCUGUAUAUAUUUAUGUUUAUUUUUCUACUCUGAAACGAACACUGAAAACAUAAAAAUCUCACAACAAAUGUAUCAUAAAGAAUUAAAACUUCUACUAGGAAUAAUUCCGAUGUUAGUUGUUUCUAGUUAAGUUGCACGGAAACGGAUACGGCAAUGGGAAACAGAACGGAAACGGGAAAUGACAAAACUCAAAAAUUCAAGAUACGGAUAGGGCAAAGAUACGGCAAUAUAAAAAUACUAUAUANNNNNNNNNNNNNNNNNNNNNNNNNNNNNAGGUUGGUAUAUUGAUGUACUUGAUCCUUGUGUUUCUUGUUCCUGUGAGGCCAUAAUAAUCGAUUUCUGAAUUGGUGAGUGUUGAAUUACUGAAUUUUUUCUUGUUCAGUUAUUCUUGAUCGUCGACAGGAAGGUGCGCAAGGCAGUAAACGACUUCGACUAUAAUUAUCCAGGGAGACAGCGAUCAGUGAAAGUUGUAGGGUAAUUACAGCCCGUUACUCCAUUAGCCUAUUUGGACUUGAAAAGCCCACGCAAAAUAAAAAAGAAUCAGAAAACUUUGUGGAAACUUACCCGAAACGUUUCUGGAUUUGUUUAUAUGUCCAAGAAACGUUUCACUACCGUUUCCCCUACAUAUUCGUUUCCCCCCGAGUAUCUGAUACGGGUACGGCGCCCUAACUGCCGUUUCCAUUCGUGAUAGGUUUCUAGUAUCUUUAGUUCGAACUCUAUAUUGGUUAAUUCAGUUAAAAUCAAAAUGUUCAGUGAAAAUACGAAUAUAAUGUCUUUAAAAAAACAAAUUGAACGAAUAUAAUGUCUUUAAAAAAACAAACAUAAGGGAGUAGUUUGUUUGUCACCGGCGAUUUUUCCAACAACAUUUAUAAAUUAUGGCCAUGUAAAUUAUUCAUUUAUAUUUUGAAAUAUAAAAAUAAAUCGGAAAAUAAAGAUACCGAUGUAAAUUAUUCAUUUAUAUUUUUAAAUAUAAAAAUAAAUCGGAAAAUGAAGAUACUGAUCAUUUUUCCUUUUUUCCUGAAGUCCUAUCCUCUUGGAGCGUUUUGACGAAGUGAACCCGUGGAUUAACCGAAACCAUAGAUCAAUAGCAUCGUCUAACCAAUUUAACCAUGUGUUAUUGCUGAUGCAAAUCAUCCAAUCAUCACUGAUAAAACUAUAUCGUUGAUACCUCGGAUACUCACAGAAAGUCGGUUCAAUUUGGAAAUGGUUCGAUCAUAAAAUUCUCUAAAUUAAAAAAAGACAUCAAUUGUAAAGGAACAACUUCUUCCAUUUUUUCUCUCUAACAGACAGCGUAAUACUUUUAAACAAAGUACUUUAAAUAAUAUAUAACCAUGUAAAUAAAUAUAAACGGUUUUUCAAACUUACAUUUCGAUCAAUGUGGACAACGAAGAGUUUGUACGUGCUAACAUCUCUCUAAAUGAAAUCCACUAUGACCAAUUGUCAAAAUAUACCAUAAAUAAGGAUUUAGUAGCAAUGAAAAGAUGUUAACAUAUGUGUGUCCAUCCAUGAUUCUACAAAAAAAUUCAAUGCUAACUUUAUUUAUUGGGUAUAAAUAAUAAUAAUAAAUAUUAUUUAAAUAAGUUUGAGAUCGACUACAAGGGUGAAAGAAAGAAAGAUGUGGAGUAUUAUGGCACACAGGUGGAGUAUUGAGAACAACUAUUCAUCAAACAUUUUUAUGUAAGUUUGCAUGAAAUUCGACUAUGAGUCGUCAAUACGGAUACACAGCUUGUGUCAUAAUAGAAUUUUAAGUAGAUUUACAUAAAAAGUUUGAUGAAUAGUUAUUUUCAAUAACCCACACGUAUCAUAUCCCACAUCUCCCUUUCUCUCACCCUUAAUAGUAGAUCUCAAACUUAUUUAAAUAAUUAUUAUUAUAAUUACUUACACCCAAUAAAUAAAGUUAGCAUUGAAUUUUUUUUUUGUAGAAUCAUGGAUGGUGAAUUUUUUUUUUGUAGAAUCAUGGAUGGACACACGUAUGUUGACACAUUUUCAGUGCUACUAAACCCUCAUUUGUGGUAUAUUUUAACAACCGGUCCUAGUGGGUUUCAUUUGGAAAGAUGUUAGCUCGUACAAACUGUUCAUUGUCCACAGUGAUCUAAAUGUAAGUUUGAAAAACCAUUUAUAUUUUAUUUACAUGGUUAUAUAUUUAUUUAAAGUACUUUGUUUAAAAGUAUUAUGUUGUCUAUUAGAGAGAAAAAAUGGUAAGAGUUGCUCCUCUACAAUUGAUGGCUUUCUUUAAUUUAGAGAAUCUAUAGAGAGGGGUUUCUCCUUGAACCAUUUCCAAAUUAAACCAACCUAUUGUGUGUAUACAACAAUAUUGUCAAUAGCAUCAUCGCGAUCACUAAAGCGAAUAGUGAGACAAGGCAAUGAAGUGUGUCGGUAUGGGGUUCAUAGCGACUGAAUAGCGAAUAGCAAAUAUCGAAUAGCGAAUAGCGACAUGGCGACCUGUUCAUUUUUUUAUAAAUCUUGUAUAAAUAGUCCCAUUAUAGGGUUUUUAGUUGACUAAGUCAAAGAGUGCAUCGAAUAUCUAAAAUUAACACUUGUUUUUUUUUUGUAAUAUACAUGUUUUAGAACUGAUUUGAACUAUUAUUCUUGGUUUUUAACUUAUUUAUUUGUUAUAAUUGCUAAUUAGGCGAGGUAAAAAUAGUAUUAAUUUUUAAUAAGCAUUCUCUAAAAAAUGAAAUAGUAGUUAUUUCAUAGCUAUCGCUACAUAUCAUAUAGGUAGGUGGUUGCUAGUACCACGCUAUCGCUAUCGCUAUCAAUAACACCGAUAUACGAGGCAUCAAGGAUACAAUUUUAUCAGUGCUAUUAGAGGAUUCACAUCAGCAUAACACAUAACAUGGUAAAAUCGGCUAGGGCGAUACUAUUGAUUGAUGGUUUCUGUUUAUCUAUUGGUUUCCUCAGUCGCAACUCUCCAAGAAAAGGAUAGGACUUCAAGCCAAAUAAUCAAUGUGUUUUACUUUUGAUUUAUUUUUUAUAUCAUUUUUAUAUUUAAAAAUGAAAAUGAAUAAUGUUACAUGUCACGAUUUUUAAAUGUUGUUGGAAAAAUCAUUGGUGGCAAAUAAACUACUCCUUUAUGUUUGGCUUUUCAAAGGCAUUAUAUUCAUUCAAUUUGUUUCUUCCAAGAUAGAUUGUAAGUAUAUAUAUAUAUAUAUAUAUAUAUAUAUAUGUGNGUUAAUAUUUUGAACUAACAAUAAUUUAAACAACUAUUGACAAUAUUUUGUUAUAAAUAAGGGAAUCAAAUAAAGAUGAAGUUGCAUGUAACACCACGGAUACGGAAUCAAAUUGUAAAAACCUAAUACGUGUUAAAAAAACAUAUAAUAUACGAUUCUCGGGUAAAACUGGUUCAUUUAAAUUCAAAUAAGUUUCUUUUGUUUUAGAAAAUUUAUAUAUUUUUAUUGAUAUCAAAAUAAUUAAGAAAAUCCAUUUUAUUAAUUAUUAUCAUAUUUUCAGUUAACAUUUUGAUUUCAAAAUUAACCAACAUAGAGUUCGAACCAAGGAUACAAGAAACAACUAACAUCAUAAUUAUUCCUAGAAGAAUUAAAUUAGUGGUAAGAUUUUUAUAUUUUCAAUGUUUGUUAGUUUCAGACUUGGUCUAUUUUAUUGUCAAGCAUUUAGUGAUGAAUGUUUGAUAUUUUUGGUGUGUGUUUGUUUGAGACUUGAUCUAUAUCAUUAUCUUAUAUUUUUUUGGUGAAUGUUUUAUCUAUACAUAAUUUUUGUAUGUUGAAUUCUUCUUGAUUUACAGAUGUUUUACAUAUUGAUAAGUUUAUUAAUAUAUUGAUGUCAACAUGUUUACUAAUUUAUAUCUUUCAACUUCAAUUGUGAUUUUUUUUAUGUUGAUUUUUUUUUUCUGUUUCAUAUUUGCUAACAUGCUAAUUGUAUUUUAUUAUUUAUAACUGAAAUUACGAUUAACAAAUUUUACUAAAAACUCAAUUAAUCAUUCAUGAUUGCUUCAUCGGAAGUCCACGAGACAUGCAAAGAAGAUAUCUAGAUGCCAUGACUUUAGUUUAAGAUGGAGAGAGGCCUGAUAUUCUUUACAAUGACAUGCGACCCAAUAUUGAAAGAAUUGAUGAUGAACUGUUGAUAGGCAUUAAGAUCGACCAGAAUUAUGAGAGCUUUUUGUGCUAAGUUAGAGGAUUUCUAGGUAAUUAUUCAAGAAGCACACAAUCGAUGUGGUCAGUCAUAUGUUUAUUUUGUAGAGUUUCAAAACGUGGAGUGCCACAUGCAUAUUUCCUCUUAAUAAUAAGAGUUGGAUAUAAAUGGCGAGAGUUUGGAUAUAAAAUGACCAAUCCAGACAAUUAUGACAAAAUGGUGUGUGCCAAAUUCCAAACCUAAUAAGGUUUUCGAAAAUGCACGAUUUGGUCAAACGUUACAUGAUGCAUGGUCCUUGUGGUAUUUUACGAGAAAAAAGUAUGCAUAGUAUGCAGGGUGUGCCAAAUGAACGAUUCCAUACUUUUAAACCUUUGGGUAUAAGCGGUAAAAAGAUGAAUGUCCUGCAGUUACCAUGCCUGGAAUUUAUAAGUACAAAAAUUAAGAGUAUAAUUCUUUAAUAGGUAACGAAAAACAAACAAAUUUAGUUUCUUAGUGAGAAAAUAAUAAAAGUGACAGCCUCAAAGACUAAUAUGGUGAUAUGUUAAUUAUGACGCACGGAGAUGGUUACAUGGUCUAGUACUAGCAAAAACAAAAUCAUUGGUUGUGUAUGUUAAGAAAGGCAGGUAUUAGAUUCACUACAAGAAUAUCACCCUUUAGCGGCGACACUAUUACCGGCGACGUGGACUUUUAGCGGCAACAAAUGCUACAGUCGCCUCUAAAAGUUCACGUCGUCGGUAAUAGCAUCGCCGUUAAAGGGUCAUCACCCGAAUCUGCGUUUUCCCCCUCCGUUACAUCUAAGCCGUUCGAUCAAAUAUUCAAUCCAAUGGUUGGGGUACCCCUUAUCCGCACUAACCUAAUACCAGUGACAUGUGUCGCCGCUAAAAGGUAAAAAUGUCGUCGCUAAUAGUUAGCUAAAAAAUGACGCGGUACCCUUCCCUCCAGAUUGUCGCCGCUAUUGACCUUUGUCGCCGGUAAAGACCUAAUUGUCGCCGCUAAAAGUGUCGCAGCUAAAGGCUCUCGCAGAUAAAAAAAAAACACACAGUUUAUUUCUCCCAUUUUGCUUUCUGUUUGUUGCAUCCCACACUUCGCCUCUUUCAGCUUUUACCGAGUUUGUCUUCAAUUAGGUUGUUCCAACUAUAUAUCUCCCCACAUUGUGUGAGAUUAAGGAUCAAGGGGUGGUUAGGGCUUUUAUGACCGAUUUCUAGCUUUAUUUCUUGAAGAAAUGUUAGUUGAUUUUGUUGUUUCCUUUUUAAUUUGUAUGUUAAUUUCGAUUUGUAGCUGCAUUUGAUGAUUAAAUGGCCAUAAGUUGUUCAAUUUCUUGUUUUUUGGUGGUGUUGUCUUUGGAUUCCUCAAAUACGAAUACAAGUAUUAGAUACUCACCCAAAAUUAAGUAAUAUUUGAUCUUUCUUUAAGAAAAUUAGCAAACUUUUUGAAAUAACAGAUUAAUAUAAUACAAAUGUAAUAUGUUUAUUUGAACUAAUUAAUAAAAUUCCAAAUCUAGUUUUUUAUAUUAUGUUAAAUAUUCAACAAUGCUUAAGGAUCCACAUAUUUUGAUUAACCAAUUAAAUCCGUCAAUCCCAUGACUGUAUACUUUAAAAAUCUCAACUUUGAUUUGGUUUUGAUUUAUAGCUUUUUACUUAGAUUUAUUUCCCUUUAAAACAUUAUACUUCUACUUUUUUCAUAUUAAGGUAUUGUAUUUUGAAAAACUAAUCAAGCUUACUACUUUAAUUUAAUGCAUUAUGCUAUUAUGCUUUCAAUGGUGAUUGGCUCUUCCAGGUAAAUGGCAUAUCAUUACUGGUUAGAAAAAGUAAAGAGUUACAAUGUAAUACAUUCAAUAUGUGAUUUAUUCUGACAUUGUAUAUAAUUUCUUAUUAAGAUAUUGCACUUCAAAAUCCAACAUAUUAAUACAUUUUACCAUUAACAUUUAAACUUGUUUCUUCAUCCAACUAUUGGAUAAUUGAAAUAGUUUCAUUUUUAGCGUUGUACUUUCAUGAUAUUAUAUCGUUAUAUUUUUAUCUAUUAUAACAUCAUUCUUUCAUUUAUAGCAUCACACUUUCAACUUUCUUCUUAUUAUCACAUUAUCAUAUGAAAAUGCAACCCAUUUUUAUCGGUGAAGAUUAAUUUGUUUUUGGAUGACAUUGUAAUAGUUGGGUAGGAUUUCCAAAGCACAUUGCUAUAAUAGUAAGAAAUAAAAGUAAACAAAUAAAUACAAGUACACUGCUAGUUCUUACAUUUAACUUGUUUAGGAAAUUAUGUAGUUCAUUUCUUGCCCACAACAUACUUCCAUUUAUUUGUUACUAUAUAUAUCCUUUACUUUAAUAUCUUUCUGUUACAAAAUUGUGCUUUCAGUCUUUUCUUAUUAAGGCACUUAAGAAUCUACCCAAUUAUAGCAUUUUUAGCUGCUUUCUAUAAUAAACAAAGAAUACUUUUAGACACCAUUUAAGAUUUCUGAGAAAACAAAAAAAAAAAGUUUUUACCAUAUCAUAGCAGUCUGCUUCCUAUGUUGUUAAAUUUACACUUCAGUACUCAUACUUUGAUUGUUUCCACCAACUAAGGCGUAAUAUACUAUAAAUAAAAGUCUGCAUUCCCACAAAUAUAUUAACAAAUGAUACACUACAAGAAUAUCACCCUUUAGCGGCGACACUAUUACCUGCGACGUGGACUUUUAGCGGCGAUAAAUGCUAGAGUCGCCGCUAAAAUUACACGUCGCCGCUAAAGGGUUAUCACCUGAAUCCGUGUUUUCCCCCUCCGUUACAUCUAAGUCGUUCAAUCAAAUAUCCAAUCCAACGGUUGGGGUCCCUUAUCCGCACUAACCUAAUACCGGCGACAUAUGUGUCGCCGCUAAAAGGUAAAAAUGUCGACGUUAAUAGUUAGUUAAAAAAUGACGCGGUACCCUUCCCUUCAGAUUGUCUCCGCUAUUGACCGUUGUCGUCGGUAAAUCCCUAAUUGUCGCCGCUAAAGGCUCUCGCAGAUAAAAAAAUGCACGCAGUUUCUUCAUUUCUCCCAUUUUGCUUUCUGUUUGUUGCAUCCCACACUACGCCUCUUUCAGCUUCUACCGAGUUUGUCUUCAAUUAGGUUGUUCCAACUACAUAUCUCCCCACAUUGUGUGAGAUUAAGGAUCAAGGGGUGGUUAGGGCUUUUAUGACCGAUUUCUAGCUUUAUUUCUUGAAGAAAUGUUAGUUGAUUUUGUUGUUUCCUUUUUAAUUUGUAUGUUAAUUUCGAUUUGUAGCUGCAUUUGAUGAUUAAAUGGCCAUAAGUUGUUCAAUUUCUUGUUUUUGGUGGUGUUGUCUUUGGAUUAGAAAAAAAAAUGAAUUUGAUUCUUGUAUUACUUCCAUUUGUAGUUUAGUCUUUAGGGACAUUUGGUGAUUAUUAAGAGCCGAAUUUGAUGAUUAAAUUGCAAUAAAUUGUUUAAUUUCAGUGUUUUUGGUGGUGUUGUCUUUGGGUUUACCGGUGAGGGUAUUUUCGGGUGAAGACCAAAUUUUCCGGCUACAUAUCCGUUGAUUUCCGCCACUACAGGUUCUAUUAUUUCAUUUUUUUGUGAAUUUCGUAUUUGUAUGUGAAAAUUGCCAUAUGUGAAAAUUAGAUUGUAUAUUUGGUAUUUGUAUAAAUAUAUGUGAAUUUGGUGUAUAUAUGCCAAUGUAUGUGUGUUUGAUGUAUAUGUGGUGUAUGAGUAUUUGGUAGAAGUAUAUACAUGAUGUUAUUAUCUAUAUAUAUGUGAAAUUAUAUGUAUUUGUUAUAAGUAGGAUGUUAUUGUGUGUAUGUGAAUAUAUGUAUGUUUGUUGUAAAUGUGGUAUAUGAUUGUGAAAUUUUUGUAUUUGGUAUAAAUAGGAUGUUAUUAGCUAUAUAUGUGAAAAUAUGUGUAUUUAAUUUAAGUAGGAUGUUAUUUUGUGUGUAUGUGAAUGUAUUUGUAUUUGGUGUAUACGUGGUAUAUGUGUGUGAAAGUAUGUGAAUUUCAUUUUCUUGUGUAUUAUGUGGAAAAGUAUGUGGUUUUGGUAUAAGUAGGAUGCUAUACUGGUAUAGUCAAUGAUGUUUCUGAUUGCGAAACUGAUUACGAUGAGACCGAUUAUGAUUAUGAUACAGAAGAAGACACCGAAGGAUAUGAGGAAUAUUCUGAUUAGAACAGUUCUUGUUUAAAUAGAAAUGUUUAUUCCUAUGUAAAUGUUUAUUUCUAUGUAAUGUGUAUUUGUAAUAAAAAUUAUAUUUGUAUAUCUUAUAAGUUUUUCAAGAAAUGAUGACAAUAUGGCUUUUGUUUAUGUAUACCAUGGCAGCUGUUAUGGGUCGUGGACACGGGGGGUGAUGGAGCUGAGGACGCACCUCUCCCAGGUGGUAGAGGUGUUGGUCAUCACGAGCAGGACGGUAAGUCUUGUUAUGAAUUGUUGUUUACUAUUUUUGUUCAGCUAUUAUAAAUUAAAUACCGUUUCUAAUAAUUUUUAAUUACAUUUGUAGUUGAGCAACUUGCACAAAGGAAAGUUCGAGGCAAAUCGAAAAAUAUAAAGCUUGAAAAAACGAUCUUAUGGAACCAGGGCAAACCGAUUAGCAUGGAAUAUGAUAGGGAUAUCACAUUUGAUCCCGUAGGAGAGCCGAAAGACAUGUUUUCCCGAGAAGUUGGAAAAACAAUGUGGCAGAUGGUCCCUUUUGAUAAAUGCACUUGGAAAAAAGUUUCCCCUGCAAUACAGGACACCGUAUUACAACAUUUAGCGGCAGUUAUUUAUUUAAAUAUAUUUUAUAUGGUUAACUAUAAUUGUUUUUUACUUGGUUAACUUUUUUAUUUGUAGACAAAGUUUGAUUUAGAUUAGAUGUACCGAGAUGACAAGUUAAUAUGUUGACAGAGAGUUUCCAAGCAGCUUUGUUAAAAGGUUAUCGAGAACGUAAAGCUGACGCAAAAGAAUAUUUUAUGUUAGUCGGAGGGUAUGAAGAUAUCCCGAGAGCAAUAGCCAACCCUCCAGAGGGUAUGGAAGUUGAUAAGUGGAAAAAAGCAGUUGAGUAUUUCCAAACAAACGAACACAUAAUUGCUUCAGAAAAGAACAAAAAAAUCCGUGAAAUGCAAACAAAUGCGAAUCGUGGGGGUCGAGCUCGUAUAGCAGUAGUUGCUAUAAGAAGGUAACGUACGAUAUAUGUAAUUAUUUAUUUAAAAUAUAAUCUAAUUUUUAAAGUUAAACAGAACCUUAAGAGAGUGGAAACGUUUCGCAAAGCUCAUACCGAUAAGAAUGAUGUAUUUGUUACAACUGAGGCGGAACAACAAUAUGUAAGUAUUUAAUUAUAAUUUUAUCAUAUAGUUAAAUGUUUAUUUAUACUUAAUUGUUACUCACUUUUAG